GACGAACGCUGGCGGCGUGCUUAACACAUGCAAGUCGAACGGAAAGGCCUCAGCUUGCUGGGGUACUCGAGUGGCGAACGGGUGAGUAACACGUGGGUGAUCUGCCUUGCACUCUGGGAUAAGCUUGGGAAACUGGGUCUAAUACCGGAUAUGAACUGCCUUUAGUGUGGUGGUUGGAAAGUUUUUUCGGUGCAAGGUGAGCUCGCGGCCUAUCAGCUUGUUGGUGGGGUAAUGGCCUACCAAGGCGUCGACGGGUAGCCGGCCUGAGAGGGUGUACGGCCACAUUGGGACUGAGAUACGGCCCAGACUCCGACGGGAGGCAGCAGGGGGGAAUAUUGCACAAUGGGCGGAAGCCUGAUGCAGCGACGCCGCGUGGGGGAGGACGGCCUUCGGGUUGGAAACUCCUUUCGACAGGGACGAAGCUUUUUGUGACGGUACCUGUAGAAGAAGCACCGGCUAACUACGUG
rnacentral:rRNA from 1 species